UCUUUAUAUUUUUUAUUAUUAAGUUUAUAAAGAAUAAUUUAAAUUUGAUAAUAUUUAAUAUUUUAUUGGGGCGAUAAUAAGAUUUAAUAAACUCUUAUAAAUAAUUACAUUAAUUUAUGAAUGUUUGAUCCGUUAAUAACGAUUAUUAGAUUAAGU
rnacentral:rRNA from 1 species